rnacentral:rRNA from 1 species
UGGGGAAUUUUGCGCAAUGGGCGAAAGCCUGACUCAGCGACGCCGCGUGUACGAUGAAGGCCUUUGGGUCGUAAAGUACUGUCAACGGGGACGAACGCCUGAGAUUGAAUAGGUCUGAGGUCUGACGGUACCCGUGGAGGAAGCACCGGCUAACUCUGUGCCAGCAGCCGCGGUAAUACAGAGGGUGCAAACGUUGCUCGGAAUGACUGGGCGUAAAGGGCGCGUAGGCGGCUGCUUAAGUCGAGGGUGAAAGCCCGGGGCUCAACCUCGGAACGGCCUUCGAGACUGGGCGGCUAGAGAUCGGAAGAGGAGGGUGGAAUACCCAGUGUAGAGGUGAAAUUCGUAGAUAUUGGGUGGAACACCAGUGGCGAAAGCGGCUCUCUGGUCCGGAUCUGACGCUGAGGCGCGAAAGCGUGGGGAGCAAACAGGAUUAGAUACCCGCGUAGUCC